CGACAUUUCGCUCACACUACGGAUCGUCCGGCACGUGCCUGCCGGUGGAACGAAAGGAAA
rfam:Leucobacter sp. Ag1 JX03_contig_44, whole genome shotgun sequence.